rnacentral:rRNA from 1 species
UACGUAGGGGGCAAGCGUUAUCCGGAUUUACUGGGUGUAAAGGGAGCGUAGACGGCAGCGCAAGUCUGGAGUGAAAUCCCAUGGCUUAACCAUGGAACUGCUUUGGAAACUGUGCUUCUUGAGUGCUGGAGAGGCAGACGGAAUUCCUAGUGUAGCGGUGAAAUGCGUAGAUAUUAGGAGGAACACCAGUGGCGAAGGCGGUCUGCUGGACAGUAACUGACGGUGAGGCGCGAAAGCGUGGGGAGCAAACAGG